AGCUCCAAUAGCGUAUAUUAAAGUUGUUGCAGUUAAAAAGCUCGUAGUUGAAUUUCUGUUUGGUUCGCACUCGAAGCCUUCUGGCGACUUGUUCGACCAAACAUCAUGAACUUGCUCGCGGAAACGCGUGUAUGUUCACCUUUACUUUGAGAAAAUUAGAGUGUUUCAAGCAAGCAUCCGCUUUGAAUACUACAGCAUGGAAUAAUACAAUAGGACUUUAGGCCUAUUU
rnacentral:rRNA from 1 species